GAUCGUACUGACCCAUAAAAAGGACAAACGUGUUAUUUUAUUAAGUUUUUAUUUAUAUUAAGUCUAAUAGCUUAACCUCAGCCAAGAAAGUUCUUGUAGUCCAGGGCAAUAAGGUUUUUCCAUGACACUUGAACAGCCAGGGUACUGAAGCGUUUUUCGACAGGCAUUAGCUGUCGAAAAAACGCUUCAGUACCAUGGCUGCUGAAGUGUCACGAACAGAGUAUAUUUUUGUCUUAUUACCCUGGCCUAUUGAUGCUUGAUAAAAGAAAUAUAAAUAAAAGUAAGUCGUUCCCAAGGUGAAGAACUUCAUGGUUUUGUACAGAAGUGAAGGAAAAAUGCAAAGAAAAGAAAGAAGCUUUCCCGAAGUAUACAAGAGGCAUAUGAUAAUUACAUAAGAAAUAAAACCCGUAUGUUUGGAAGAAGAAUAAAAAAAUGAUCACUGGGAACGUUUUUCGAAAGAAAUAGAACAUGAUUUUAAUGGUCUGCAAAAGGAAAUAUGGCGCUUUAUAAGAGGUGAAAGAACGGAGGUAAAGGAACUAAUAUAACCAAAACACAGAAAAGUAGGUAUACAUAGAUUGACUAUCUGAAAAAGCUGCAUGUAGAGGAAGAACAAAGGAGGAAGCUGUAUGCAAAGAAUGGAAAACUGGCAACUAAUUCCAUUAUUCAAAGAAUGAAAUAAGAAACGGCCAGAAAACUACAAAGCUAUAAACUUAUUAAAUACUAGCCUAAAACUUUAAACAACAAUUGUACGAGAUGGUUUACUGUAAAGAGACCGAAAUCAUUAGACCGGAAGCAGUAGACCGAACUCAUUAGACCGAAAAGCACUUUACCGAAACCUCACUAGACCGAACAGCAGAAGACCGAAAAGCAGUUCUUUUUACUUGUCGCAGUAAAAGAGAUAAGACUAAUGUAAUUACAAUUAAAAUGUUAUUUGGAUAGUUAUUAUAAACAGUUAAAAUGG
rnacentral:lncRNA from 1 species